rnacentral:lncRNA from 1 species
CUGUGUAUUCAGCUAGUAUGGUAAAAUGUUUUGUUUUUCUUUUUUUUUUUUUUUCCAGAGUCUAUGAGAUCAUUCAAGUAUGGAGACUUGGCAGCUUCUCUGUACGUACAAAGACGGCUGUUUGAAUGUCAGACUGAGUGUCUUUCUGGCUAAAGAGAGGUGGUACACGUGCCGCUCACAGUGCAAGUCUGAGCUUCUGCUUCGAGCAGUAUUUGAGAAAUGCUAAAAGUGCCAGAAAUACAGUAAAUACAUAUAGUUUCCACAUGCUGCUUGGCUGGUUAUCUGGUUCCAUUCUUCGUGUCAAAAGAGUCAAGAAACCAAGACAUUACUGUUCAUUGCAAGGUGACCUAUGUGUUGUUACCUCAACUUUUUGGAACAGCAAACAAAGCCAAGUGUACUCCUUAAAAGAAUUAUGUGAUCCCAGGGCAGAUGGGGGUGGGGGGGAGGCAAAAAGAGAAUACUGAGCCUGGAGCAUCCCUUUUAGCUCAAGGAGCAAAACCAAAUGGGAAUAUCUGGGUUAUUUCCAAACUCCACUAAUGUGGACCUCCCUCGUGAAAGAAACGGAAUGAUGUCAUGUUCAGCAGUGCAGGAGAGGAUCAGAGCAUGCUCCUACCAAUUCAGCAUACCCCAGAGGUAAUACCAUGGGCUAAUAGCCCAUAAUAAGGCAAAGAACUACCUGGUGCUUACAUUUUUUGUAUAUAAACAUGUGCAUGUGUAUAUGUGUGUGUGCACAUAUGUGUGUGUAUUUAAAGAACUAUUUUUACAGGCUCUUGGAAGAAAAAGAAUUUUUAAAGGGAGUUUUGGUUUCUCGUGAAUUUCUUUUUUAAUCUUUAAUGAGUUCCCUUAGUGUUUUGCUGCAGAAGGUGAGGCUUUGGUUGCAGGCUCGUUUGUGCUUGGCUUCACUUUACUUUGUUUCUAGUGUUUCAAGGGAUCAAAAAAAGCAAAACCAGUAACAUUUGACCUUCCGAAGCUGGUAAUGUCUGGUUUUUUGUUGCUGUUGUUCCCCUUUAUCCUUGUCUUUUCAUGGUGAAAAAGCAGUGUAAAACAUUCAGCAUUCAUUUCCAGGUGAUCUGUUCUUUUUCACCC